rnacentral:rRNA from 1 species
GGGGGCAACCCUGGCGGCGAGCGGCGAACGGGUGAGUAAUGUAUCGGAACGUGCCCAGUCGUGGGAGAUAACUAUCCGAAAGGAUAGCUAAUACCGCAUACGACCUGAGGGUGAAAGCGGGGGACCGCAAGGCCUCGCGCGAUUGGAGCGGCCGAUAUCGGAUUAGCUAGUUGGUGAGGUAAAGGCUCACCAAGGCGACGAUCCGUAGCUGGUCUGAGAGGACGACCAGCCACACUGGAACUGAGACACGGUCCAGACUCCUACGGGAGGCAGCAGUGGGGAAUUUUGGACAAUGGGGGCAACCCUGAUCCAGCCAUUCCGCGUGAGUGAAGAAGGCCUUCGGGUUGUAAAGCUCUUUCAGCAGGAACGAAACGGCUCUCUCUAACAUAGGGAGUUAAUGACGGUACCUGAAGAAGAAGCACCGGCUAACUACGUGCCAGCAGCCGCGGUAAUACGUAGGGUGCGAGCGUUAAUCGGAAUUACUGGGCGUAAAGCGUGCGCAGGCGGCGCCAUAAGACAGAUGUGAAAUCCCCGGGCUUAACCUGGGAACUGCGUUUGUGACUGUGGUGCUCGAGUGUGGCAGAGGGGGGUGGAAUUCCACGUGUAGCAGUGAAAUGCGUAGAGAUGUGGAGGAACACCGAUGGCGAAGGCAGCCCCCUGGGUCAACACUGACGCUCAUGCACGAAAGCGUGGGGAGCAAACAGGAUUAGAUACCCUGGUGGUCCACGCCCUAAACGAUGCGAACUAGGUGUUGGGGAAGGAGACUUUCUUAGUACCGCAGCUAACGCCUGAAGUUCGCCGCCUGGGGAGUACGGUCGCAAGAUUAAAACUCAAAGGAAUUGACGGGGACCCGCACAAGCGGUGGAUGAUGUGGAUUAAUUCGAUGCAACGCGAAAAACCUUACCUACCCUUGACAUGCCAGGAAGUCCGCUGAGAAGUGGAUGUGCCCGAAAGGGAACCUGGACACAGGUGCUGCAUGGCUGUCGUCAGCUCGUGUCGUGAGAUGUUGGGUUAAGUCCCGCAACGAGCGCAACCCUUGUCAUUAAUUGCCAUCAUUCAGUUGGGCACUUUAAUGAGACUGCCGGUGACAAACCGGAGGAAGGUGGGGAUGACGUCAAGUCCUCAUGGCCCUUAUGGGUAGGGCUUCACACGUCAUACAAUGGUCGGUACAGAGGGUUGCCAACCCGCGAGGGGGAGCCAAUCCCACAAAGCCGAUCGUAGUCCGGAUCGCAGUCUGCAACUCGACUGCGUGAAGUCGGAAUCGCUAGUAAUCGUGGAUCAGCAUGUCACGGUGAGUACGUUCCCGGGUCUUGUACACACCGCCCGUCACACCAU